UUUCCUAAGUGCUAGAGUUGGUAAGAGGCUGGAUCAGCUCACGGGUUCUCCUGUCCUCAGGGUCAGCUAUCCCACCUGCCAAAGAAGAUAUGAUGUUAAUAUCCAUGCAAUCCGAUUGCACAGAAUCAGCUGGCUCAUAUUAAUACCUAGGACUUGGCGGGACAGAAAUUUCCUUCUAUAAGACAAAGCAACUCAUAUUUGAAAGACAAGUGAGCCUAAGAGAAAAGGAAAUUCUAUAAGGGUUACAGAACCAUGUCAAAGCAAGAGGAUAAAGAUGCUCAUGAUUCAUUUGGCUUCCAAGGAGAUUUUCCUGAUAACAUCACUUAAGCAGCAGCCAUCACUCCACUUCAGAGUAUGCAAUGAAGAUAAGCUGUCAUGUGUCAUGUCUCCUUCAGGACAAUUUGAUAUUCACUGUGUUGGUGUUAACAGAGCAUAUAUGCAAAGAUGUUCAUCUUGGAAUGAAGAAAUGUAUAUAUUGAAAUAUGACACAAACUAAUUAGAAACUUGUCCUUCCACCAGCCACUGUGACCUUGACACUUAGAUUUUUCAAUGUGUCAGAUAUGCAAAAUAACUGAAACUUCUGUUUUAGUAAAGACAUUG